rnacentral:rRNA from 1 species
AGUCGAACGAAGUGAGAUAGCUUGCUAUUUGAACUUAGUGGCGAACGGGUGAGUAACACGUAGGUAACCUACCCAUAUGACUGGGAUAACUAUUGGAAACGAUAGCUAAUACCGGAUAGGUAAAGAGAAGGCAUCUUCACUUUAUUAAAGUUGGGAUACAACACAUAUGGAUGGACCUGCGGCGCAUUAGCUAGUUGGUAAGGUAGUGGCUUACCAAGGCGAUGAUGCGUAGCCGACCUGAGAGGGUGAACGGCCACACUGGGACUGAGACACGGCCCAGACUCCUACGGGAGGCAGCAGUAGGGAAUUUUCGGCAAUGGGGGAAACCCUGACCGAGCAAUGCCGCGUGAGUGAUGAAGGCCUUCGGGUUGUAAAGCUCUGUUGUAAGGGAAGAACGCUGUGAAGAGGGAAUGCUUUGCAGGUGACGGUACCUUACCAGAAAGCCACGGCUAACUACGUGCCAGCAGCCGCGGUAAUACGUAGGUGACAAGCGUUAUCCGGAAUUAUUGGGCGUAAAGGGUGCGCAGGCGGCCCGUUAAGUCUAAGGUUAAAGCCCGUAGCUCAACUACGGUACGCCUUAGAAACUGGCGGGCUAGAGUGCAGGAGAGGGCAUUGGAAUUCCAUGUGUAGCGGUAAAAUGCGUAGAUAUAUGGAGGAACACCAGUGGCGAAGGCGGAUGCCUGGCCUGUAACUGACGCUGAGGCACGAAAGCGUGGGGAGCA